GAUGUUUCGGAAGGAGGAAGAUAUGCUGGUCUGGUGCACAAAAUGGGAUUGCUUCCUCACAGCCCUAUGUUAGCUGAUUUUUCUUUAUAUUUUUAAAAUAUGGCAUUGUUUAUCACCAUCCAUGUUUGAGCCUGAAAUCUUUUGGUGGGGACGGUAUGAUCAACAACCUGACCUACUAGCUUGUAGUGUCCUUUACUUCGGGACCAACAACCCAAC
rnacentral:lncRNA from 1 species